rnacentral:lncRNA from 1 species
UUCUCUUUCUUUUUGUAUUUUGGUUUCUCCUUUUCCAUUUCUAUAUCUAAUUAGUUACUGAUUUGUAUUUAUUUGAGUGACAAAACGAAUUUAGUCAAUCUUGAAAUCUGGCACACAAUUCAAGAACAACAUUGUGGUGUCGCAUAAAAAGUUUUAGAGCCAACGAAAUUGUUCAAGCAUUUUUAGAAAUUGAAUAGGUCAAUUGAUAUGUGUUGGACCACUUUAUAUUUUCCUAGGGAUUUAUUUGUGAGUCAAUUUAAGUUGGUUUCAACUUUACAAAGGUCGGGGGAAUUUAUAGAAUAUCAUGAACAUUUUAGUUUGAACGUUUGAAAACUUUUGCUGUUUGACUUGAUUUUGAAUUUGAAAUUGAACAGUGAUAUGGAACAAGUGAGGAUUAGCAACAGUAGUGUGAUAACUUGGUGAUAACUUGGCAUAAUUAGCAGAGGUUUACUGUAGCUUAAUUAUCCGCGCGUCACAAUUCUCCUCCACUACAAGAAAUCUCGUCCCGAGAUUUAAGGGGUAGAGUUAGGGGAAAAGACUCGGGAAGGACGGAGCUCAACACAUGAUAGGUACCUGGGGGCUAUCUCAGUGAACAUGGCAUAGAGGCAUCUCUCGAGUUGGAAUUCAAGAAAGUCAUCGAGAGCAAGGUAAGGAGGUGCGGUAAGAAGCUCCAACCGGGUAGGCAAUCGUUCGUUGCCUAAAACAGAGGGUGAAAGUGGUUCAGAGCAAUGGGAAUAAGUAUUUCGUGUGAUAUCGAUCACUAGGUAGGUUUCUCGUGAUUUAUAUAUGAAGCCAAGAGCGAGGGACAACUUUGGAAAACAGGGAUGUAUAGGAGUCAGGUUUCGAUCCUAUGGAACUGUGGGUUAUGGGCCCACCAGGUGGGUUAAAAGCAGGAAGGGUGCUAACAUUUUGUACGGUCAUGAUAGCAAGGGAGGUCAGAGGAUAGCCUGUCAGUUAUGUUGGCAACAACGUUGGUACCAAGGGCGAGGGCGAAGAGAACCAUUUUCUUGCUCGUUCAACGAGGCGAACCAAUAGGCAAAGUUCUCGUCCAUCGGUGGCUACCGGAAUGCCACCAUCAAUAGUAAUAGGGGUAUUCUGACCAAGUUGUUCAUCGAGGUGUUUACUUAAGCUGGGAUUUAUCUCUGCUUAGACAAGUUAGAUUACAAGAAAGGUGAAACAAAAUAAUGGGAAGGAAAAUGUGAUUAUUAUGAUAAUCAGACCAAUGGAAAGGAAAGGUGUUUAUACCCAAGUAUUAGAGUAUAACUUUCCCAAGGAAAGGCGGAGCAUGAUAGGGCUCCAAGUAUUAAACCAUUUAGACAAAGGGGCAAGGAAUUUAUGAGGUUUACCCAUCAACGGUGUUUGGAUAGUAGAUCAAGAAACAUUCGACAAUGUGCUUCCAAUGUUCUUGUUGAUAUCCGGAAUACCUCAGUCAUGCUUCGAGGUAGCAUUAAAAUGGUGUUCCAAGUAGGGGUCGGAGUUGAAGAUCACAAUAAAUACUCAAGGAACAAUUGCAGGGAUAGCAAGGAGUCCAAGGUAUAACCAAGACAUGAUCAAGCAUGUGUUGGAAAGAAGACAAGGGGGUUGUCGAUGAUAACUCAAAUCAUCGAAGGUCAAGGAUGGUAUUUCUCAGCAUGAAUUCAAUUGUCAUCUCAACAAAAGUCAAAAUGUUGAUGCUGAUCACGACGCAUUUGUCGAGAGGCUCUAUGAAGAUGCCAUCGAGGAGUGAUGCCAUCAAGCAACAAGAAGAAUGAAGUGAAAGGCUAUUGGAACCACGAAUACGACACAAGCUUGAAAUCGAGCUUGUUGUUCGAGGUGAAAUGAUAAGAUGAAGAAGAUCGACGUAAGCUUAGCUCGUCGUCGGAAGUGGCUCCGGGAAGAAGGACCGGGUAGCAGAGUUAAAAUUAGCUCACAAUGAUAUAGCCGAUAAGGCUAGGAAUGAUGUGAUGUAGUAUCAUUCCAAUGAGAAUUCACAAGAGGUAGUGCAAUGACACAAUAUCCUCGAGAUAACAGGGGGCAAUACUCGAGGUAGAUUAAAAUAGAGGUUGGACAGAUGAAAUGAUCUGCAAAAGACAAGUAUUUUAUCUUGUCUGGGAAAUGGAAACAAGGAGAAAAUAUGGUCGGAACCACGAUCGCAAAUAAUCAAUUUAAAGAUGCAAGAUGAGCUUAUACCAAGGGAACAUUUGAUUAUAAGAGAAGCUUCCAUGAUAAGAUCUACAUCGUGUCUAUGGGCAUGAACACAAAGUUCAAGGUCGACUCCCACUUCUUCAAUGCAUAACCUCUCAUUUACUUCUCGCUUUUGACGAAGUUGUAGUGUAGAAAUUUUUUAUCCGGUGUAACACCAGUAGAGUAUGACCCAUAGAAAUUUCCGGGUUCACACAAAUAUGGGAAAGCAUUAGUUCAACCCGUCGGGGCAUCUUAGGAACAUUUGCAAAAACUUUAGAGGAAAUUAACUCAAGCUCGGAAGCAGAGCAUGGUUGACAAAGCAGAGAAUACAAUUUACCAAAGGCAAUAUGUAUCAGGGGAAGAGCGCACAAAAUUUUGAAUAUGAAGGAAACUGCCGGAUAAUAAUCCAACAGAAGAUUCAACAGUCCUCAAUGGAUCUGAUUUGAGUAUAAGUACUCAAUCAGAAGAAGGAAAGAAUGCAAAGGCAUUGGAUUAUAGAAACAACUGAAUAAUUCGAUGCUUAAUGCAGACAAAUUAUGAUUUCCAAAUUAGAAGAUCAUAAGCAGACACUCUGAUCAAAAGACAAGUAAGUUGAAUAGAUAUUGAUCGAAAAUCAAUUAAGGUUUGGUUUGUCGAGAACCAGCUCAUGUCCGGAGUGAUGUCUGAGCCGGAAAGAUCAUUUAAAAGGAUCAACUUAUGAUUGCGCGCAUUCGCUCACAUGUUGAAUCAAUAGGAACAAAGUGACGGUGUCAAAUGAUACUAAUGAAUAUUGCUAGACAUAUGAGAAGCAUCCAUAAUGUAAGCAGACAAGUAAUUGCCGAACAAUAGUUUGAAGAGGAUUCUCGGAAGAUCAAAUAGUAUUUCGGAGAAUCUUAUGAAGCAUACGAACAACUGGGGAUGAACGGAUACUUGAUAAGUGCGAGGAAUUAUCCGUAGGGGGUAUUCAUGUGGCAAAGAACUGCAAGGCAGUAAGCUCAAAGGAUUCUCGAAACAAUAGAGAAUUUCGGGGCAUCUUGUAAUAACAAGAGCAUCGAGGAAUGAUUGUAUGAAUGGCAAGUGUAUGUAGUUUUCCAUAGGGGUUGACAGUGGAAGGGAAUCGCAAAAGUGAUGAGCACAAGUUCUCGAGCGAACAUCGGAGAGUAUCUUCGAAGGCUCUGGGGAAGCGGGCGAUCAUCUGGAAUGAAGUGGCUCUCCGGGAGGAAGUAGUUACGAGAACCUAGAAGUAGAGUUAGUAAAAUCAUUUAACCCGAAUAGAAGAGAGCAGAGUCCCAGAAUAUAGAUGAGGAGUAAAAGAUCCUAACACCACCCAAUGGCGACGUGGGCCCGUAAGCCACACAGCCAAGUUAGUAAAACAGUUUUGGACGACUGGACUCAACUUCGGCCAAGGAGUUGGAAAGGGGCUACCUACAGGCAGCCGGCUCUGGUACCAACUUGUGACGCCCUCGAUUCAAUCGUACACUAAUCAGACACGCAAAUGUGUACGAUCAAGAUCAAGGACUCACGGGAAGAUAUCACAACACAACUCUAGACACAAACUAAAAUAAUACAAGCUUUAUAUUACAAGACAGGGGCCUCGAGGGCUCGAAUACAUAACCUCGAAAACACAAGAGUCAGCGGAAGCAACAAUAUCUGAGUACAGACAUGAGUUAGGCAAGUUUGCCUUAAGAAGGCUAGCACAAAAGCAACAACGAUCGAAAAGGCAAGGCCUCCUGCCUGGGAGCCUCCUAACUACUCCUGGUCGUCGGCGGCCUCCACGUAGUAGUAGGCACACUCAGUGUAGUAGCAGUUGUCGUCGAAGGUGGUGUUUGGAUCCUGGGCUCCACCAUCUGGUUGCGACAUCCGAGAAGAAUGGAGAAGGGGGAAAAGGGGGAGCAAAGCACCCGUGAGUACUCAUCCAAAGUACUCGCAAGCAAGGAUCUACACUACAUAUGCAUCCGUGUCAAUGAAAAGGGUAGUAUAUGUGGACUGAACUGCAGAAUGCCAGAAGAGAAGGGGAAGGCCUAGCCUAUCGAAGACUAGCAUCUUCUGGAAACCACCAUCUUGCAGCAACAGGAGGGAGUAGAGUAGCAUAAAGUAAAGUAGUCGAAGUGUUAUCAACCUCGGCCAGAGAUCCUUUCUCGACUCCCAGCGAGAAAGCAAUCCCAGAGCCAUACUAUCCAUUUAUCACCUCAUAUCCAAGUCUCAUCUCAAGUAUCCAGUUCUAGUUGUAUCAAUCGGGAUACGACUCCAAGUGUCCGUUACCGUAGGACAUGCUAUCGAUAGAUGUUUUCUUCCCUGCAGGGGUGCACCAACUUACCCACCACGCUCAAUUAACUCUGGCCGGACACACUUUCCUGGGUCAUGCCUGGCCUCGGCCAAACAAUACGCCGCAACCCGACCUAGGCUUAAUAGAGAGGUCAGCACGCCGGACUAAACCUAUGCCCCCAGGGGUCAUGGGCCAUCGCCCCGGGACUCUUGCACGUUGCGAGGGCGGCCGGUGAGCAGACCUGGCUACCUCCUUCAAAAAGGCAGGUGCUUACGCAGUCCAACACCCGGCGUGCGCCGCUCAGUUGCUGACGUCUAUUAAGCUUCGGCUGACAUAUACGACGCAGAACGCCCAUACUAUGCCCACGUGAUGGUUAGUUCUAUCUGGCCAGAGGCCCCUCGGAUCAAAUAUCCAAAUCGUAGUGGAUUAGGAACGUGCGGUAACAAGCAAAGACUCACGAAAGAUGUGACCCCAUUGCCCCGUCUCGAGGACUUGCAGCAAGGGCUGGGAAUGCCCGGCCACGCCUCGUAAUUAUCUCACGGGCACCCUCCAGGUCAACCCGUCUCCACAUCACUCGCAAUUAAGCUUGCGCGGGUACCCCUCAGGGUCGACCCGUCUUUAGUAACAUGGUUCAGUGUAAAGUCAUAGUAACCAUAGUAAAUGUGUGUCCAAACAUCAAGGGGAAAACCCGAGGAAUCACCCCCGGUGAAUUCCACUCGAUGUAAUCAUCAAGGUGAACGUAAGAGGAACCACCCCCGAGGUUCACACUUGAGGGGUUGCACGACAGAGUCGUAUCGGAAGUGGUUAAGGCGGAAUCACCCUCGAUGACCACGACCGAAUAGCUACACUACAGGGUUAACAUCAAAAGUGCUAUAGAGGUCUCACCCUCGGCACUCGAUAGUAACCCAGUAGUGUCGAGCAACUAAGGGAAAAGUGAUGUGCGGUGCCGGGGCCUGGUCUUCGAUCCCGUUGAUCGGGUCUUCAAUGAUGAAGCAGGGGCAACAAGGACAAGGUGGGGGGUCACUGAUGGAUUACUAACCAACCUAUACUAAGCAGUUUAGGAUAAGCGGGUAAGGUACAAUGAGCAGGUUACAAAAGCAGGCUAUGCAUCAGAAUAGGAGCAAUAAUAACAGUAGCAAAAUCUAAUGCAAGCAUGAGAGAAUGGAAUGGGCGAUAUCGGGAUGAUCAAAGGGGGGGCUUGCCUGGUUGCUCUGGCAAGGAGGGGGUCGUCGUCGACGUAGUCGAUCACAGGGGCAUCAGCAGCGGUCUCGGGGUCUACCGGAGAGAAGAGGGGGAAGAAACAGUAAAUACCCGCAAACAUAUGCAUAACAAGACAAUAAGCGGCGCUAGAGGUGUUCUAACGCGGCACUAGGCGAUACUGACGAAGGGGGAAACAUUCGGGAAAGUAUUCCCGGUUCCGGACGUCUGUCGGACAGAUGAACCGGAGGGGAAAGGUUCGACAUUUUCUAUGAUAAGGACGCGUGGCGGGCGAACGGACCGCGUAUUCAGUUUCGUCUCAUCGGUCUGAGCAACUUUCAUGUAUAAAACUUUUUCAUCCGAGCUACGGUUUAUUAUCUACAAUUUUCUAAUGUUUAAAAAGGAUUUUCUAAUUUACUAGAAUAAUUAUUAAUUUCGAAAUAAAUAGCAAAAAGCUCUAAGUACAUAGAAGUGUACCCAGCCAGGCCACACAGGGGCUGACUGGUGGGCCACGUCAACUAGGUUGACCCAGUCUGCAAUUGAGAUUUGACUGGUCAACAACUGGGACAUGGCCCACAUGUAAUUGACUUGGGUCAAAACACUAGUUCUAAUAAAAGAGAAUUUGCCUAAUCUAUUUGGGUCCACAUGUGAUACGUAACAGUAAAGAAAUGCUAGCACUAAUCACGUUUGGUAGCCGGCUGCAGAGCACGCACAUGAGCACGAACAUGUGCAGGAGUGCUGGGUGCUCACGUGCACGCACGCUAGGCCGGUCAUGGCCGAAGCACGACAUGGCGAGCACGGCCGGGGAGGCGCAAGACGCGGGGGCGCUAGCAGCAGGUGGUAGCGGCAGCAGCGCAACAACAACAGCAAGCAGCAACAGAGGCAAGCGGCAGCAACGAUAACAGGCAGCAGCGGCUGUGGCGCUAGCGGUUGUAGGGAGCAGCGGGCGGCAACGACGAGGCACGGGCGGGGGGCGCCAAGGCAGCAGGCGCGCGCAGCAGUAAGCAACAGCAACAUGUACAUAGGAGCUCGGGCUCCGGCCAUGGCGACUACAGACGAGCAAGGGAGCGGCGGCAAACGACACAGAUCGAAGGGGCAAAGCGAGGGAAUCGGCAGAGAGGCUCACCCCAGUGCUUGUGGACGAGGUUGGGAGGUCGAGGCGGCCUGGAGCAGCGGCAACCGGCGAUGGACGUCGGUGACCGUGGGAGAAGAUGAGGAUGUUGGCGAGGCCGCGGGGCGUUCCGGCAUGGGUCUUCGGUGUAGUCGAAGGAGAUGAACGCAGGGAGGCUCCUGGACAUGCUAGCCGGUGACGGGGAGGCCGGUGGCCGCGGGAUCGAUGAGGUCCAUGGCAACCACGAUGCGGUAGUUCGCGGGAGAGAGGGAAGAGGCGCGAGGAGGAGGGGGAGAAGUUAGGGUUUCGGUCGAGUGAGGUCGGGGGCUCGGCCUUAAACAACCAGGGAACCGGGGGAUGGCUGACACAUCACCUAGGGGGCGCGGCCAUGGCGGGAUGGCCGCCACGAUCCCCUCCUCCUGUAGCAGGAGGAACAGGAUGAGUGGGGGGAGGUGGGCUGCUGGGCAAGCAGACCAACUGGCCAAGUGGCCCAGGGGGAGGGGAAGGGCCUUUCUCUUUCUUUUUGUAUUUUGGUUUCUCCUUUUCCUUUUCUAUAUCUAAUUAGUUAUUGAUUUGUAUUUAUUUGAGUGACAAAACGAAUUUAGUCAAUCUUGAAAUCUGGCACACAAUUCAAGAACAACAUUGUGGUGUCGCAUAAAAAGUUUUAGAGCCAACGAAAUUGUUCAAGCAUUUUUCAAAAUUGAAUAGGUCAAUUGAUAUGUGUUGGACCACUUUAUAUUUUCCUAGGGAUUUAUUUGUGAGUCAAUUUAAGUUGGUUUCAACUUGACAAAGGUUGGGGGAAUUUAUAGAAUAUCAUGAACAUUUUAGUUUGAACAACUUUUGCCGUUUGACUUGAUUUUGAAUUUGAAAUUGAACAGUGAUAUGGAACAAGUGAGGAUUAGUAACAGUAGUGUGAUAACUUGGCAUCAUUAGCAGAGGUUUACUGUAGCUUAAUUAUUCGGG